UAAGCGACUAAGCGUACACGGUGGAUGCCCUGGCAGUCAGAGGCGAUGAAGGACGUGCUAAUCUGCGAUAAGCGUCGGUAAGGUGAUAUGAACCGUUAUAACCGGCGAUUUCCGAAUGGGGAAACCCAGUGUGUUUCGACACACUAUCAUUAACUGAAUCCAUAGGUUAAUGAGGCGAACCGGGGGAACUGAAACAUCUAAGUACCCCGAGGAAAAGAAAUCAACCGAGAUUCCCCCAGUAGCGGCGAGCGAACGGGGAGCAGCCCAGAGCCUGAAUCAGUGUGUGUGUUAGUGGAAGCGUCUGGAAAGGCGCGCGAUACAGGGUGACAGCCCCGUACACAAAAAUGCACAUGCUGUGAGCUCGAUGAGUAGGGCGGGACACGUGGUAUCCUGUCUGAAUAUGGGGGGACCAUCCUCCAAGGCUAAAUACUCCUGACUGACCGAUAGUGAACCAGUACCGUGAGGGAAAGGCGAAAAGAACCCCGGCGAGGGGAGUGAAAAAGAACCUGAAACCGUGUACGUACAAGCAGUGGGAGCACGCUUCGGCGUGUGACUGCGUACCUUUUGUAUAAUGGGUCAGCGACUUAUAUUCUGUAGCAAGGUUAACCGAAUAGGGGAGCCGAAGGGAAACCGAGUCUUAACUGGGCGUUAAGUUGCAGGGUAUAGACCCGAAACCCGGUGAUCUAGCCAUGGGCAGGUUGAAGGUUGGGUAACACUAACUGGAGGACCGAACCGACUAAUGUUGAAAAAUUAGCGGAUGACUUGUGGCUGGGGGUGAAAGGCCAAUCAAACCGGGAGAUAGCUGGUUCUCCCCGAAAGCUAUUUAGGUAGCGCCUCGUGAAUUCAUCUCCGGGGGUAGAGCACUGUUUCGGCAAGGGGGUCAUCCCGACUUACCAACCCGAUGCAAACUGCGAAUACCGGAGAAUGUUAUCACGGGAGACACACGGCGGGUGCUAACGUCCGUCGUGAAGAGGGAAACAACCCAGACCGCCAGCUAAGGUCCCAAAGUCAUGGUUAAGUGGGAAACGAUGUGGGAAGGCCCAGACAGCCAGGAUGUUGGCUUAGAAGCAGCCAUCAUUUAAAGAAAGCGUAAUAGCUCACUGGUCGAGUCGGCCUGCGCGGAAGAUGUAACGGGGCUAAACCAUGCACCGAAGCUGCGGCAGCGACGCUGAUGCGUUGUUGGGUAGGGGAGCGUUCUGUAAGCCUGCGAAGGUGUGCUGUGAGGCAUGCUGGAGGUAUCAGAAGUGCGAAUGCUGACAUAAGUAACGAUAAAGCGGGUGAAAAGCCCGCUCGCCGGAAGACCAAGGGUUCCUGUCCAACGUUAAUCGGGGCAGGGUGAGUCGACCCCUAAGGCGAGGCCGAAAGGCGUAGUCGAUGGGAAACAGGUUAAUAUUCCUGUACUUGGUGUUACUGCGAAGGGGGGACGGAGAAGGCUAUGUUGGCCGGGCGACGGUUGUCCCGGUUUAAGCGUGUAGGCUGGUUUUCCAGGCAAAUCCGGAAAAUCAAGGCUGAGGCGUGAUGACGAGGCACUACGGUGCUGAAGCAACAAAUGCCCUGCUUCCAGGAAAAGCCUCUAAGCAUCAGGUAACAUCAAAUCGUACCCCAAACCGACACAGGUGGUCAGGUAGAGAAUACCAAGGCGCUUGAGAGAACUCGGGUGAAGGAACUAGGCAAAAUGGUGCCGUAACUUCGGGAGAAGGCACGCUGAUAUGUAGGUGAGGUCCCUCGCGGAUGGAGCUGAAAUCAGUCGAAGAUACCAGCUGGCUGCAACUGUUUAUUAAAAACACAGCACUGUGCAAACACGAAAGUGGACGUAUACGGUGUGACGCCUGCCCGGUGCCGGAAGGUUAAUUGAUGGGGUCAGCGCAAGCGAAGCUCUUGAUCGAAGCCCCGGUAAACGGCGGCCGUAACUAUAACGGUCCUAAGGUAGCGAAAUUCCUUGUCGGGUAAGUUCCGACCUGCACGAAUGGCGUAAUGAUGGCCAGGCUGUCUCCACCCGAGACUCAGUGAAAUUGAACUCGCUGUGAAGAUGCAGUGUACCCGCGGCAAGACGGAAAGACCCCGUGAACCUUUACUAUAGCUUGACACUGAACAUUGAGCCUUGAUGUGUAGGAUAGGUGGGAGGCUUUGAAGUGUGGACGCCAGUCUGCAUGGAGCCGACCUUGAAAUACCACCCUUUAAUGUUUGAUGUUCUAACGUUGACCCGUAAUCCGGGUUGCGGACAGUGUCUGGUGGGUAGUUUGACUGGGGCGGUCUCCUCCUAAAGAGUAACGGAGGAGCACGAAGGUUGGCUAAUCCUGGUCGGACAUCAGGAGGUUAGUGCAAUGGCAUAAGCCAGCUUGACUGCGAGCGUGACGGCGCGAGCAGGUGCGAAAGCAGGUCAUAGUGAUCCGGUGGUUCUGAAUGGAAGGGCCAUCGCUCAACGGAUAAAAGGUACUCCGGGGAUAACAGGCUGAUACCGCCCAAGAGUUCAUAUCGACGGCGGUGUUUGGCACCUCGAUGUCGGCUCAUCACAUCCUGGGGCUGAAGUAGGUCCCAAGGGUAUGGCUGUUCGCCAUUUAAAGUGGUACGCGAGCUGGGUUUAGAACGUCGUGAGACAGUUCGGUCCCUAUCUGCCGUGGGCGCUGGAGAACUGAGGGGGGCUGCUCCUAGUACGAGAGGACCGGAGUGGACGCAUCACUGGUGUUCGGGUUGUCAUGCCAAUGGCACUGCCCGGUAGCUAAAUGCGGAAGAGAUAAGUGCUGAAAGCAUCUAAGCACGAAACUUGCCCCGAGAUGAGUUCUCCCUGACUCCUUGAGAGUCCUGAAGGAACGUUGAAGACGACGACGUUGAUAGGCCGGGUGUGUAAGCGCAGCGAUGCGUUGAGCUAACCGGUACUAAUGAACCGUGAGGCUUAACCU
rnacentral:rRNA from 1 species